UACAGAGGUCUCAAGCGUUGUUCGGAUUCAUUGGGCUUAAAGGGUGCGUAGGCGGCGCGGAAAGUAGGGUGUGAAAUCCCUCGGCUCAACCGAGGAACUGCGCUCUAAACUACCGUGCUCGAGGGAGGUAGAGGUGAGCGGAACUUAGGGUGGAACGGUGAAAUGUGUUGAUAUCCUAAGGAACACCGGUGGCGAAAGCGGCUCACUGGAUCUCUUCUGACGCUGAGGCACGAAAGCUAGGGUAGCGAACGGG
rnacentral:rRNA from 1 species